GGAAGGAUGCAGGAGUGGUUGAACUGGCACGCCUGGAAAGUGUGUAGGCUCUUUACGGGGCCUCCGGGGUUCGAAUCCCCGUCCUUCCGCCA
rnacentral:tRNA from 1 species